CCGUCGUCAGUUCGUACUGUGAAGCAUCCUGUUAAGUCAGGCAACGAGCGAGACCCGUGCCCACUGUUGCCAGCAUGUCCUUCGGGAUGAUGGGUACUCUGUGGGGACCGCCGAUGCUAAAUCGGAGGAAGGUGCGGGCUACGGUAGGUCAGUAUGCCCCGAAUCUCCCAGGCUACACGCGGGCUACAAUGACUGGGACAAUGGGCUCCUACCCCGAAAGGGGAUGGUAAUCUCAUAAACCCAGCCUUAGUUCGGAUCGAGGGCUGUAACCCGCCCUCGUGAAGCUGGAAUCCGUAGUAAUCGCGUUUCAACAUAGCGCGGUGAAUACGUCCCUGCUCCUU
rnacentral:rRNA from 1 species